UCACGUUGAUCCUGCGUGAGAUUUCUGCUAGAGGGGUUGGAUUAAGCCAUGAAAGUGUGUUAACUUCGUGUUGACCGCAGAAGGCUGAGUAACACGUCAUUAACCUGCCUUAUGGUCUUUAAUAAUCUUGGGAAACUGAGUGUAAAGAAGAUAGUUAUUUUAAACUGGAAUGUUUUGAUAACCAACAUAAGAUGGGAUGGCGGCCGAUUAGGUAGAUGGUGAGGUAAUGGCUCACCAUGCCUACGAUCGGUAGGGGUCGUGAGAGCGAUGACCCCCAGAAGGACACUGAGAUAAGGGUCCUAGCCCUAAGGGGUGCAGCAGGCGCGAAACCUCUACAAUGCACGCAAGUGUGAUAGGGUAACCCCUCGUGCUUAUCGAAAGAUAGGCUUUUGUUAAGUUUAGUGCACUUAACGAAUAAGUGGUGGGCAAGACCGGUGCCAGCAGCCGCGGUAAUACCGGCGCCACAAGUGGAAAUCAUGAUUACUGGGUCUAAAGUGUUCGUAGCUGGUUUUGAAAGUUUCUUGUGAAAGUUCUGUUGCUUAACUCAGAAAUUGCAAGAAAUACUCCAAAACUUGAGACUGGAAGAGGUAAGAGGUAUUGUUUGGGUAGCGGUUAAAUGUUAUAAUCCUUACAAGACCAACUAAUGCGAAGGCAUCUUACUUGGACAGAUCUGACAGUGAGGAACGAGAGUUGGGGGAGCGAACCGGAUUAGAUACCCGGGUAGUCCCAACUGUAAACGCUGCGGGUUAGGCUUUACUAAAUCUGUGAGAUUUAGUAGGAGUAUAGCGAAGGCAUUAAACCCGCCACCUGGGAAGUACAGUCGCAAGGCCGAAACUUAAAGGAAUUGCCGGGGGAGUACUACAAGCAGUGCGGCGUGCCGUUUAAUUGGAUUAUACACCGAGAAACUUACCAGGGGCGACAGCAGGAUGAAGGUCAGAUUAAAGGUUUUACCUAACACGCUGAGAGGUGCUGCAUGGCCGCCGUCAGCUCGUGCUGUAAGGUGUCCUCUUAAGUGAGGAAACGAGCAAGACCUAUGCCCAUAAUUGCUAGCUAGGGUUACUAGUGCACUCUAUGGGGACUGCCUUGGAAACAAGGAGGAAGGUGUAGGCUACGGUAGGUCUGUAUAGCCCGAAUCUCCUGGGCUACAAGCGCGCAACAAUGGUAGAGACAAAGAGAUGCAACUCCGAAAGGGGAAGCUAAUCUCCAAACUCUAUCCAAGUUUAGAUUGAGGUUUGCAACUCAGCCUCAUGACAUUGGAAUUGCUAGUAACCGGAUAUUAUCAGUAUCCGGUGAAUAUGUCCAUUCUCCUUGGACACACUGCCCGUCAAUCCAACCAAGUAGGGUCUAGAAGAGAUUUCUUUAUUUUGAAGAAAUCAGUUCUUAAUUCUGUGAGGGGGGCUAAGUCGUCACAAGGUA
rnacentral:rRNA from 1 species